UUCCGGUUGAUCCCGCCGGAGGCCAUUGCUAUCGGAGUCCGAUUUAGCCAUGCUAGUCGAGCGAGGUUAGCCCUCGCGGCGAACAGCUCAGUAACACGUGGCCAAGCUACCCUGCAGAGGGGGACAGCGUCGGGAAACUGACGGGAAUCCCCCAUACCGGUCUCACGCUGGAAUGCCGAGACCGACAAACGCUCCGGCGCUGCAGGAUGCGGCUGCGGCCGAUUAGGUAGUCGGUGGGGUAACGGCCCACCGAGCCGAUAAUUGGUACGGGGUGUGAGAGCACGAGCCCGGAGACGGAAUCUGAGACAAGAUUCCGGGCCCUACGGGGCGCAGCAGGCGCGAAACCUUUACACUGCACGAACGUGCGAUAAGGGGACUCCGAGUGCGAGGGCAUACAGUCCUCGCUAUUGUGUACCGUAGGGUGGUACACGACCAAGAGCUGGGCAAGACCGGUGCCAGCCGCCGCGGUAAUACCGGCAGCUCGAGUGAUGGCCGAUUUUAUUGGGCCUAAAGCGUCCGUAGCUGGCCCUGCAAGUCCGUCGGGAAAUCCACUCGCCUAACGAGUGGGCGUCCGGCGGAAACUACAGGGCUUGGGACCGGAAGACUUGAGGGGUACGUCUGGGGUAGGAGUGAAAUCCUGUAAUCCUGGACGGACCGCCGAUAGCGAAAGCACCUCAAGACGACGGAUCCGACAGUGAGGGACGAAAGCUAGGGUCUCGAACCGGAUUAGAUACCCGGGUAGUCCUAGCUGUAAACGAUGUUCGCUAGAUGUGGCACAGGC
rnacentral:rRNA from 1 species